UACGGAGGGUGCGAGCGUUGUCCGGAAUCACUGGGCGUAAAGGGCGCGUAGGUGGCCUGUGGAAGUCUGCGGUGAAAGCCCGGCGCUCAACGCCGGGUCGGCCGUGGAUACUCUCGGGCUUGAGCUUACUAGAGGCAGAUGGAAUUCCGGGUGUAGCGGUGGAAUGCGUAGAGAUCUGGAGGAACACCGAUGGCGAAGGCAGCCUUCUGGGCCAACACUGACGCUCAUGCACGAAAGCGUGGGGAGCAAACAGG
rnacentral:rRNA from 1 species